rnacentral:lncRNA from 1 species
UACAACAAGCCCUCCAUUUUUUAUUAACAAGCUUUUCUUUUUCUGUUUCUCAGAAUUCUCUGGCAAGCACUGAGAAUAAUUUUUUGUUGGGGGAGAAAGGGGUGAAAUAUUUUUAUUUUAUUUUCUGAAAAAUGGUUUUCCAUGUGGGACCUGGACUCUGAUGUGAUGGUUAGGGUAUUGAGACUUUUUAACCAAAGGGUUAAAC